rnacentral:rRNA from 1 species
UUACACACCGCCCGUCACACCAUGGGAGGUGGGGUUCCACCAGAAGCCGGUCGCCUAACCGCAAGGAGGGCGCCGACCACGGUGAGAUUCAUGACUGGGGUG